rnacentral:tRNA from 1 species
GUCCCCAUCGUCCAGAGGCCUAGGAUUCAGCCCUUUCAAGGCUGCGACACGGGUUCGAAUCCCGUUGGGGACGCCA